GGGUGAGUAACACGUGGGUAACCUGCCCUAAAGUCUGGGAUACCACUUGGAAACAGGUGCUAAUACCGGAUAACAACAAUAGCUGCAUGGCUAUUGCUUAAAAGGCGGCGAAAGCUGUCGCUAAAGGAUGGACCCGCGGUGCAUUAGCUAGUUGGUAAGGUAAUGGCUUACCAAGGCGACGAUGCAUAGCCGAGUUGAGAGACUGAUCGGCCACAUUGGGACUGAGACACGGCCCAAACUCCUACGGGAGGCAGCAGUAGGGAAUCUUCCACAAUGGGCGAAAGCCUGAUGGAGCAACGCCGCGUGAGUGAAGAAGGUUUUCGGAUCGUAAAGCUCUGUUGUUGGUGAAGAAGGAUAGAGGUAGUAACUGGCCCCUAUUUGACGGUAAUCAACCAGAAAGUCACGGCUAACUACGUGCCAGCAGCCGCGGUAAUACGUAGGUGGCAAGCGUUGUCCGGAUUUAUUGGGCGUAAAGCGAGCGCAGGCGGAAAGAUAAGUCUGAUGUGAAAGCCCCCGGCUUAACCGAGGAAUUGCAUCGGAAACUGUGUUUCUUGAGUGCAGAAGAGGAGAGUGGAACUCUAUGUGUAGCGGUGGAAUGCGUAGAUAUAUGGAAGAACACCAGUGGCGAAGGCGGCUCUCUGGUCUGUAACUGACGCUGAGGCUCGAAAGCAUGGGUAGCGAACAGGAUUAGAUACCCUGGUAGUCCAUGCCGUAAACGAUGAGUGCUAAGUGUUGGGA
rnacentral:rRNA from 1 species